CCCCACUCUCUUCUGCUAAUAAGUAGUCUAGUGCUGGCCCAUUUUGAUAAAUUGUUGCAUGCAUUUGGUUUUGUUGUUGCAAGAGCAUUUCCAGGGCUGAAGUGGUUUGGUUAGUGAUUGUCUAUAGUACAGCCUAUUCUCAAAAUUAUUCUAUUUGCAUAUAUCUGGGAGUGCCAUAACCCCAUGAACCAUCCUCAGCCCAAGUGGCAGGGCUGUAAUAUUCGAUGAUCCAUUGCAGAGGCCACUCAUCCUCUUGCCAUCUUUGCCUUCCUCCUACCUUUAAGGACCUUUUUUCCCUGUUUAGGUUAUCAUAUACAGGGAUUCCAAGAGUGUUGCCCACCUGCAUUGGAAGUAAAAAGAAUCCAGUUUUAAUUGUACCUAGGAAGCAAGUACCUUGCCAGUGAUAAGGUAACCAAGAGUAAGCCUGGGUUCCACAUAUCCAAAAGAAUACUUCAGGACAAUCUAUUGUAGUCUGGUUUUCAUAGGAUUGUCCCAUAGUGCACUUAAAUGUGGGUAUGUGGCUUAAGGGUUAGUGGUGUUUGUACAGUACCAGGCCUUUUCUGACAAGUCACAAUUGAGGUAGCUUAAGUUAGAAGGAGACCACACUCUGUGGGGUAACCUUGGCCCCCAGUCUACUGUGGAGGCAUUGACUGCUAGGGUUUGGUGACAGGGGCUUUCACCUAUGGUGUGAUGGGUUUCAUCAGUUCACUUGUGGUAUAUGCACACCAUCCCUCUUACUGGGUUGAUAAGUAUCCAGGACUGUGGGCAUUCCUGAGUAGUGAGAAUGACGCUGGGGUUUUGGGAUGCUGGUAAGAGGGAAUGUCUAUCCCAUACCACGGCCACUGUUGAUUCAUACGAGAUCCCCACAUAUCCAGCAAUUGGACACAUUCAUGGUAAAUGUGAUGUGUUCUCCUAGAUCUGCAAACAGGUUUUUUCUGGGUUUAGGAAGGGAUAUGUCUGCUUGUAAUUUUGUAUAAAGGGAUGGAAAUACCACAGGUGAUUUGGGCACAGGGGGGUGGUAGUUGUUUGUUUUGGCUUUUGCUUUGGCUAUAAUCUGUUUUCUCUUUAUGUCCUUUAGCACUUGAGUGUUUACUCUCCGUCAUCCAAUUUUGUGGAGGGAAAGCCACCUCUUACCUUUUGGACAUAUAGCCCCUUUAUGACUGCUAGAUACUCCUAGAUUUUUUACUUUAUAAUAACUUUUCCAUGAUUCAACACAUUCCUCAAUUAAGAUUUCAUAACAGAAUUUUUCUAUUUGAGUAUGGUAAGUAAAUGAUUGUUGCAUUUUUCCUCAAUAGUGAAAAGACUGAUAACACUCACGGCAACUCAGAGGAGCUGCUGUGGACCACAGGGCAGCUACUGACAAUAUUAGGAUUGUGGUGAGGGAUAUUCCUGUACUAAGACUUUUGGUUGGAAGUCAGGUACAGCAAACGGUUGGGCAGAUACAGGCCAUUUCUGAAAGCAGGUGAUUAGUCUGCCUUGUGUUUUGGUUCUAAGAAAAAAAAUUUUUUGUUAAUUUAAGCUUGGUAGGAGAAAUUGGCCUAGAUGACAACUCAGCUAUUAAUGUUUUGGAGGAAGAAGUAGCCUUGGGGGUGAGAUUGACCCUGGUGUGAUGGAUCCAGUGGGGGAGUCCUUGGACUCUCACUGCAUUGGGCAUGCAGAGUAUCAAAGUGUAGGGGCCUGCCCACUUUGGUUGUAGCUUUUCAUGAGGGUCGGGUUGGCAGAUAAACAUGUCUGUGCCUGCAAGACAGUUAUGUAUAGAGGACAAAGAGAUGACUAUAGGGAGAGGCAUGGCCUCAUUUG
rnacentral:lncRNA from 1 species